rnacentral:lncRNA from 1 species
AUAAAUUGAACUACAGUUUAACUACAAAUUCACAUUAGGUGAUCCAAGGUAACACAUUUAGAACACACUUACAAUACAUUAUAACUAUAAUCUGCCAAACUGACUACAAUUAACUACAAACUGACUACAAUUAACUACAAACUGACUACAAUUAACUACAAAUUGUAUUCAGCCUUUUAUCUCCAGCCGGUGGCGUUACUACAUCAUCCAAAAUACGUUGUGGAACAUCCCAUUUUGCUUCAUCAGGAAGAGGAUUAACUGGCAAUUCAUAUGGAAGUAGUAGGCUCUUAGUUGUGUAAUACGGUGAGCAAUAGUUGUCCGGCCUU